rnacentral:rRNA from 1 species
AGAAGCACCGGCUAACUCCGUGCCAGCAGCCGCGGUAAUACGGAGGGUGCGAGCGUUAAUCGGAAUUACUGGGCGUAAAGCGCAUGCAGGCGGUUGAUUAAGCGAGAUGUGAAAGCCCCGGGCUUAACCUGGGAACUGCAUUUCGAACUGGUCAACUAGAGUCUUGUAGAGGGGGGUAGAAUUUCAGGUGUAGCGGUGAAAUGCGUAGAGAUCUGAAGGAAUACCAGUGGCGAAGGCGGCCCCCUGGACAAAGACUGACGCUCAGAUGCGAAAGCGUGGGGAGCAAACAGGAUUAGAUACCCUGGUAGUCCACGCCGUAAACGAUGUCUAUUAGGAGUCUGUGACCUUGAGUCGUGGGUUCCAAAGCUAACGCAUUAAAUAGACCGCCUGGGGAGUACGGCCGCAAGGUUAAAACUCAAAUGAAUUGACGGGGGCCCGCACAAGCGGUGGAGCAUGUGGUUUAAUUCGAUGCAACGCGAAGAACCUUACCAUCUCUUGACAUCCACGGAAGCUUGGGGAGACCCGAGUGUGCCUUCGGGAACCGUGAGACAGGUGCUGCAUGGCUGUCGUCAGCUCGUGUUGUGAAAUGUUGGGUUAAGUCCCGCAACGAGCGCAACCCUUGUCCUUAGUUGCCAGCACGUAAUGGUGGGAACUCUAGGGAGACUGCCGGUGAUAAACCGGAGGAAGGUGGGGACGACGUCAAGUCAUCAUGGCCCUUACGAGAUGGGCUACACACGUGCUACAAUGGUCGGUACAAAGGGUUGCCAGCUAGCGAUAGUGAGCCAAUCCCAUAAAGCCGGUCGUAGUCCGGAUUGGAGUCUGCAACUCGACUCCAUGAAGUCGGAAUCGCUAGUAAUCGUAGAUCAGAAUGCUACGGUGAAUACGUUCCCGGGCCUUGUACACACCGCCCGUCACACCAUGGGAGUGGGCUGCAAAAGAAGUGGGUAGUUUAACCGUUCGCGGAGGACGCUCACCACUUUGUGGUUCAUGACUGGGGUGAAGUCGUAACAAGGUAGCCCUAGGGGAACCUGGGGCUGGAUCACCUCCUUAC